UACAGAGACUGCAAGCGUUAUUCGGAUUCACUGGGCGUAAAGGGUGCGCAGGCGGCCAAGUGUGUGAGGCGUGAAAGCCUGGGGCUUAACCCCAGAAUUGCACCUCAAACUACUUGGCUAGAGCAUUGGAGAGGGCAGCAGAAUUCAUGGUGUAGCAGUGAAAUGCGUAGAUAUCAUGAGGAAUACCAGAGGCGAAGGCGGCUACCUGGACAAUUGCUGACGCUCAGGCACGAAAGCGUGGGGAGCAAAAGGG
rnacentral:rRNA from 1 species